AUAACGGUCCUAAGGUAGCGAAAUUCCUUGUCGGGUAAGUUCCGACCUGCACGAAAGGCGCAACGACUUGGGCGCUGUCUCGACCAUGGACCCGGUGAAAUUGCACUGGUCGUGAAGAUGCGACUUACCCGCGGAAGGACGGAAAGACCCCGUGAACCUUCACUGCAGCUUGGCAUUGGCCGCUGGUCCCGCGUGUAGAGGAUAGGCAGGAGGCAUCGAUCCGGAGGCGCCAGCCCCCGGGGAGCCGCCCUUGGAAUACUGCCCUCGCGCGACCGGCGUCCUAACCCGAGGCCGUCAACCGGCUCGGGGACCGUGCCAGGCGGGCAGUUUGACUGGGGCGGUCGCCUCCUAAAGGGUAACGGAGGCGCGCGAAGGUCCGCUCGGGACGGUCGGCAACCGUCCUUUUGAAUGCAAGAGUACAAGCGGGCUUGACUGCGAGGCCCACAAGCCGAGCAGGUGCGAAAGCAGGCUCUAGUGAUCCGGCGGCCCCGAGUGGGUGGGCCGUCGCUCAACGGAUAAAAGGUACUCCGGGGAUAACAGGCUGAUCUUGCCCAAGAGUCCACAUCGACGGCAAGGUUUGGCACCUCGAUGUCGGCUCAUCGCAUCCUGGGGCUGGAGUCGGUCCCAAGGGUACGGCUGUUCGCCGUUUAAAGCGGUACGCGAGCUGGGUUCAGAACGUCGUGAGACAGUUCGGUCCCUAUCCUCCGUGGGCGCAGGAGAAUCGAUGGAGGCUGCCCCCAGUACGAGAGGACCGGGGUGGACGCACCUCCGGUGAACCGGUUGUCGACCAACGGCACGGCCGGGUAGCCGCGUGCGGCGCGGAUAACCGCUGAAGGCAUCUAAGCGGGAAGCCGUUCCAGGGAUUAGUUCUCCUUCCGGUAAGGGCCCAGGUAGACUACCUGGUCGAUAGACGGCAGGUGCAAGGCUGGCGACAGCCUCAGCCGAGCCGCACUAAUCGCCCGAGCUCUUCCGGAA
rnacentral:rRNA from 1 species